ACCGUUCAAUCUAUGGCAAAGGCAGACUUUUUCCGAUCCUUCACCGUCUCGGAUUUAGUUUUCUCACCAUUGAAGAUCUAAUUUUCCUACCUUUCUCCAUGAGACGCUUUCCUUUAGGUCUCGGGGUGCUGAUUUUGCUUCACCGCCGUUCGUGGCACCAUAAUCCAAUCAAAGUGUGAAGAGGUAUAUGGUCACUGGGCCAUGAUGAGAGAAAAAAACAUCGAAUCAAAGUGUGGAAACUCUUGAAAAUCGAGAUCAUCCAACCACUAGACUGCUAAAAUAGUAGUAGCACCCACUCCAUUUAAUCUUUCUAUUGUAUUUAUGAAAAUUUAGUACUAUAUGCUAUAGAUAUAAAUACGUAGAACGAGAACUCAUGGAUUGGUUAGACAUUUUCUUCUUGGAUUUUAGUGUCAGCGUCCAAUUGCAAUUUGCAUAAUAGUACUAUUCCUUUGAAAGGUACAUUAAUUGUAAAUAUUAAAGUGAAUAUUUUUAAUUAAUUAAUAAGGAUUAAGU